CAAAAAAGAAAAAAGAAAAGAAAAGAAAGAAGAAAGAAAAAAAUAGAAUCCAGACCUGCCCAGAGAGAGGCCUGGCUUUUGCCCUCCGCCCCUGGGAAGUCAUCUCUGAGCCCUUGGUGCCUCACACAUGAGGAGGGUCUGACUGCCUGGGGGCCUUAGGCCAGCCCACAGCAAGAUGAAUUUGGGGUGGAGUUUGGGCCAGAUGGUAUCCCUGAGCUUGGGGGGGCUGGAGGCUGAGGUCAGCCACACAGAGAGGGGGAGGAGUCCCCAGUAAGAACCCAGGACACCAAGGUCUGAGGAGCGUCCCUGGCUGGCAACACUCCCUGCGUGCCGGGAGGAGUGAGGGGAGAGGACUGCUGAUACCUAGUCUCCGUGGAGCCUUCCGCGCCCUCCUCCCGGCGGCUUCCAGCGCGCCCUUCUCUGUGAUAAGCGUGACUGUGAACAUGGCUGAGUCCUUCUAAAGAACUCGCAACAGGGCCACCGCCUCCUCCCCGCUGCACACCCAGGCCUGCGUGUCAGCGGGCAGCGCGCUCAGGAACUGCUCCAGCACCAGCGGCUCCAGGACCCGCUCCUUGGUCUGCACCUCGGGCCGCAGCGGGUCCCCGCACAGGGCGCGGAGCAGCCCCAGCGCCUCGUGGGGGCCCGACGCGUCGCCCAGGUGGAAGCGGCGGAAGCGGUGCCACGAGGAGCCCGGCGCCAGGCCCUCGGCCUCCUGCUUCACCGGCACCACCAGCUCCAUGGGGCCUCCUGGAUGGCAGCGCGUGCCCCGCGUGGCCCAGGGGGCAAAGAGGUCUCUGUGAGGAGCGGCGCUCACUCGGGCGGUGAGGAAAGGGUGUCUGUCUCGUGGGAUCCCACGGAGUCAAGUCCCGGCUCUGCCCCUCGCUGGACCCCUCCGCGGUUUCUGUACCUCAGUCUGCAGCUCCUCCCGCAGCCUGUCCUAUAGCACAAAGGCUCUGGAGCAAAUUCCAGCUCUGCCUCCCACCAGCUCUGUGUCCUUGGACAAGGUACAAGGCACCUUUUGUAAUACACUGUAUGUCCAUGUCCUUGGCUCACUCAGGCGAGGCUCCCCAAGACCCCUUACCUCCCCGCACACGUGCACAAAGCUCACCGGGACUCCUCUUACACAUUUUUCAUUAUUCGUUGCUGGUACAUAGAAAUACAAUUUUUUGUAUAUUGAUCCUUCUAUCCAGUGACUUUGCAGAAUUUACUUAUUAAUUCUAGUAGCUUGUUGGCCGGGCUGGAGGGUUGGGAUUACAGGUGUGAGCCACCACCGCACCUGGCCAGAAAUUGUAUACUCUUUAGUUGUCACUGUUGACCCUCUCUUCCCAAGUCAUAAGCAUCUACUAAUCUACUUUAUCUUCAGAGUUUACUGUAGAGAUUUUAUUAAAUGAAAUUAUAUAAAAUGUUA